rnacentral:rRNA from 1 species
UGGUGGAGUGAUUUGUCUGGUUAAUUCCGAUAACGAACGAGAUCUUAACCUGCUAAAUAGCUGUCGGAGGUUUUAACUCUGACUUGGCUUCUUAGAGGGACUUUGUGGAUUAAACAUGAGGAAGUUUGAGGCAAUAACA